GAACCUUAACUUUCUUGAUAUGAAGUUUAAGGUUAUGAUAUAAUGUGCCCAGUGGGCCACUUUUGGUAAGCAGAACUGGCGCUGUGGGAUGAACCAAACGUAAUGUUACGGUGCCCAAAUUAACAACUCAUGCAGAAACCAUGAAAGGCGUUGGUUGCUUAAAACAGCAGGACGGUGAUCAUGGAAGUCGAAAUCCGCUAAGGAGUGUGUAACAACUCACCUGCCGAAGCAACUAGCCCUUAAAAUGGAUGGCGCUUAAGUUGUAUACCUAUACAUUACCGCUAAAGUAGAUGAUUUAUAUUACUUGUGAUAUAAAUUUUGAAACUUUAGUGAGUAGGAAGGUACAAUGGUAUGCGUAGAAGUGUUUGGCGUAAGCCUUCAUGGAGCUGCCAUUGGCACAGAUCUUGGUGGUAGUAGCAAAUAAUCGAAUGAGACCUUGGAGGACUGAAGUGGAGAAGGGUUUCGUGUGAACAGUGGUUGAUCACGAGUUAGUCGGUCCUAAGUUCAAGGCGAAAGCCGAAAAUUUUCAAGUAAAAAAUCAGUGAGUAAUAUUGUCAAAUCUUUUAUGAUUUUUAAAUACUUGAAUAAUUUUGAACGAAAGGGAAUACGGUUCCCAAUUCCGUAACCUGUUAGGUAUCCGUUUGUUAUUAAAUAUGGGCCUCGUGCUCAUCCUGGGCAACAGGAACGACCAUAAAGAAGCCGUCGAGAGAUAUCGGAAGAGUUUUCUUUUCUGUUUUAUAGCCGUACUACCAUGGAAGUCUUUC
rnacentral:ncRNA from 1 species